rnacentral:rRNA from 1 species
GAGUUUGAUCCUGGCUCAGAACGAACGCUGGCGGCGUGCCUAACACAUGCAAGUCGAACGUGAUCCAGAGCUUGCUCUGGUGAAAGUGGCGCACGGGUGAGUAACGCGUGGAUAACCUACCCUGGUAUCCGGGAUAACAUUCCGAAAGGGGUGCUAAUACCGGAUAAGCCCACGGGCUCUUUGGAGCUUGCGGGAAAAGGUGGCCUCUAUUUAUAAGCUACUGUAUCAGGAUGGGUCCGCGUACCAUUAGCUAGUUGGCGGUGUAUCGGACCACCAAGGCGACGAUGGUUAGCUGGUCUGAGAGGAUGAUCAGCCACACUGGAACUGAGACACGGUCCAGACUCCUACGGGAGGCAGCAGUGGGGAAUUUUGCGCAAUGGGGGAAACCCUGACGCAGCAACGCCGCGUGAGUGAUGAAGGCCUUUGGGUCGUAAAGCUCUGUCAGAGGGGAAGAAAUGAUAUAGUGCUAAUACCACUUUAUCUUGACGGUACCCUCAAAGGAAGCACCGGCUAACUCCGUGCCAGCAGCCGCGGUAAUAC